CAGCAGCCGCGGUAAUACAGAGGGUGCAAGCGUUAAUCGGAAUUACUGGGCGUAAAGUGCGCGUAGGUGGUUUGUUAAGUUGGAUGUGAAAUCCCCGGGCUCAACCUGGGAACUGCAUCCAAAACUGGCAAGCUAGAGUAUGGUAGAGGGUGGUGGAAUUUCCUGUGUAGCGGUGAAAUGCGUAGAUAUAGGAAGGAACACCAGUGGCGAAGGCGACCACCUGGACUGAUACUGACACUGAGGUGCGAAAGCGUGGGGAGCAAACAGGAUUAGAUACCCCCGUAGUCCCUGUCUCUUAUAC
rnacentral:rRNA from 1 species